GGUAAAAUGGCUGAUUUUUAGGCGAUAAAUUGUAAAUUUAUUUAAGAGUAGAUUUCUUUUACUA
rnacentral:tRNA from 1 species